GAAAAACUGAGGCCCAGGGAGGGUAAGUACUGCAGGUAACUAGGCACUAGCAGCAGGGGCACUAGCAGCAGGGACACUCCCUAUCUCGCCUGUCACCCGCGUCCAGCAAAAUCUGAUGCCCUGUCGGCCCAGCAGGGGGCGGUGCUGCUUUAGUUUUGGCCUGGUCGGGGUUGAGCGGAGGAGGGAGCGACUUCGAAUUCAGUCUGCACCUGACUGACCUCGAGCAAAAACGAAGCGGGCGCACGUUACCGUCUUCCAUCUGGGGGCCCAGCAGCCUCCAUCUUCGCCCUAGCCCCUACAGCCUCGUCCCUGGCUGGGGCUCCAGCUCCCCAAUUUCUCACCCUCACCACCAGGAGCUACUUAUCUUAUCACAGGCUCACUUAGAUUACCACUAGGAGAUUACCACUCGGGUGGGGUGGAGGUGCGGUGGGAUUCGCAUUUUGCAAGGGAUCAAAAGAGCGGCUAAUUAUGGCAUUUCUAGCCCAAGGCAUUGGCCAGAGAUAUUGCGGGUAGGCCCCUUAACCUCCCAGCAUCUCGCAGUAUCUACCGAUUAGUGCUGAGCCUCCUGUGCAAUGCAUCCGUCUAUAGAUAUGGCCAGAAUGGGCCGGGCUUGGUGCGCGGUGGCUCACUGCUGUAAUUCCAACACUUUGGGAGGCCGAGGCGGUCGGAUCAACUGAGGUCAGGAGUUCGAGACCAGCCUGGCCAAUAUGGCGAAAUCCUGUUUCUACUUUAAAAACAAACAAACAAACAAACAAAAAACAAAAAAAAAACUAGCCGGGCGUGAUGGCGCAAGCCUGUAGUCCUAGCUACUGGGGAGGCUGAGGCAGAAGAAUCGUUUGAACCCUGGAGGCGGAAGUUGCAGCGAGCGGAGAUCGAGUCACUGCACUCCAGGCUGGGGGAUAGAGCGAGACUCCCAUCUCAAAAUAAAAAAUAAUAAUAAUAAUUUUUUAAAAAGAAAGAAAUGGCCAGAAUGCCAAAGCUUUAAUGGUGGGUAGAAGUCCCCAGACUUGAGAGUCUCGUUCUCCCAACUCUCCUUCCCCGUCAGAAAGUGCGAAGGGACUGGAAUGGAGAUCCUGAGCGGUCCUGGGUGCCGGGGCCCCGACCGGGGCUGAGCUGGUCCCCUGGUCGGGACGGCUGGGCAGAGGUGCCGAGGGGCCGCGGGCGGCCCUUCGCUGGCUCAUUCGCAUCCGCAGCCCCUCAAGAAGGCCCUGGGCCCGCAGGGAGGAAGAGUUUACCUGGAAGGUCCUCUCCUGCGCUGGCUCUGGGGGUGCUUGGAACCAGAGCCCCUUAGUCGAAGCGCGUCCUGCUGCCAGCUACUACCAAGUCCUUAGGCCGAGCCCGUUUCUCUCCUGGUGAUGUGAAUCCUCGUUUUUUGUUGUUGUUGUUGUCGUUUACUGAAGUCCCGGGCUGAUUAGACACAGCAAUGGAAGCUGGGGGUGGCCUGGGCCGUGCAUUGAAUUUGUGACUUUAGCAAGUCCCUAAAUUCCUCUCUGCCUCACUUUUGCUGUCUUUUUUAGGUUAAAAAUAUUUUGGAGAAUAGAAAACAGAACAAAACAAAAAUAAUGGCUUAUAGUGCCAAUAUGGAAUUAUAGUCACUCCUAACAUUUUGGUAUAUUGUUUUGCAUUUGCUUUGUUUCUAUUCUAUGCUUAUAUAUUUUUAAUUUUUUUCCAUCACUGUCAUCAUAUUUCCUAUUCAGGUCUCCAGCCUGCUUUAAAAAUUUUUUAAUCAUAAAGUUCCAUAAAAAUUUUAUUUCAGCCAAUUUCUUUUAUAACACGUUCUUCAUGAAUCUUAUCUGAUAUCUGCAUAAUAUUCCACUCAUACUUUGCACAAUUAGACAUUAAGGUCGUGUGUACUUUUUAAAUUAUGAUACAGCAAUUUCUAAAUAGUGUAUAAUUUCAAUUUUUGUUUCUUAGUUAUCAUAACAGUUCUUAAAAGGUGAUAACAAAUUUUUAAGUGGAUACAUUUUUUCCCCCUUCUUUGGUUUAUAAUUUUAUUGCUCUGUGGUCUGAGAAUGUGGCUGUAUUUACGCUUUUUGAAAUUGAAGUUUUUGAUUGAUGGUUGAUUUCGUAAAUAAGUUUAGGCACAGUUUUGUAUAAAUGAUUGGGCACAAAAUUCUUUAUAUUAGAUCAAGCUUUGUAAAAUGUAUUAUCCAUAUCUGCUAUGUCUUUUUAAAAUUUUUAUCUACUUGAUCUAAUUUCUGAAAGAGCUGUAAGUUUUUUAAAUGUGUUUGUGGAUUUACUAUUUCUUCUUUAUAUAUAUAUAUAUAUAUAUAUAUAU
rnacentral:lncRNA from 10 species